CCUACGGGUGGCAGCAGUGAGGAAUAUUGGUCAAUGGGCGCGAGCCUGAACCAGCCAAGUAGCGUGAAGGAUGACUGCCCUAUGGGUUGUAAACCUCUUUUAUCAAGGAAUAAAGUGAGGCACGUGUGCCUUUUUGUGUGUACUUUAUGAAUAAGGAUCGGCUAACUCCGUGCCAGCAGCCGCGGUAAUACGGAGGAUCCGAGCGUUAUCCGGAUUUAUUGGGUUUAAAGGGUGCGUAGGUGGGUUGUUAAGUCAGUUGUGAAAGUUUGGGGCUCAACCGUAAUAUUGCAAUUGAUACUGGCAGCCUUGAGUACAGGUGAGGUAGGCGGAAUUCGUGGUGUAGCGGUGAAAUGCAUAGAUAUCACGAAGAACUCCGAUUGCGAAGGCAGCUUACUAAACUGCCACUGACAUUGAUGCUCGAAAGUGUGGGUAUCAAACAGGAUUAGAUACCCGUGUAGUC
rnacentral:rRNA from 1 species